rnacentral:rRNA from 1 species
UAGAGUAAUGCGUGACCAACCUGCCCCAUGCUCCAGAAUAGCUCUUGGAAACGGGUGGUAAUGCUGGAUGCUCCAACUUGACGCAUGUCUUGUUGGGAAAGUGUUUAGUGGCAUGGGAUGGGGUCGCGUCCUAUCAGCUUGUAGGCGGGGUAAUGGCCCACCUAGGCUUCGACGGGUAGCCGGCCUGAGAGGGCGGACGGCCACAUUGGGACUGAGACACGGCCCAGACUCCUACGGGAGGCAGCAGCU